CUGGAGGGCCUGGGACUGAGGGCUCUCAGCGAGCUCUUGUCUCUAAGACCCUCUCUUCCGCAGGCCUCUGCCCCCCGUUUCCCAGGGCAGAUCACUGGCACAGAUCCCCCACCCCACCCCGAUGUGCCUACGUGAGCACAGUGGAAAGACCAUGGGAGGAUAUAGUGAGAAGACGACCAUCUGCUGUCCAAGCAGAGAGCUCUCACCAGAAACCAACCCUGCUGGCACCUCUAUCUUGGACUUCCAGCCUCCAGAACUACAAGACACAUUUGAAAGGAGUAUUAGUGAGUCUUAACAUUCGGAGGCUCUUCUGAAGUGAUGGAGUCCUCCUGCCUCUGACGCAGAGGACAGUGGGAUUGCCUGAAGGAGAGGACACAGCAGGAUGCUAUUUGAACAGCCGGCAUCUUCUAAUGAUUCUGAGUAUAGUUAAAAUGUCCACUUUCCUCCGAAGUGGGCAAGGCUGUGCCGAGCUCCUUCCGCCAUUUGGAAGAAUCCCCACCCUUGGUCUAUCCUGGCCACCACCUGGCCUCCUGGGAAGCGGCCCCCUGGCUGAGAAUCCAGUGACUCCAACUCCUCCCUGCUCCAGGACAUCGGGGUGCCUGCCUUCACCUGGGGGCAGCCCCCUUCCUGCGCAGCUGCUCCUAAUCUCCUGCUCCCAGGAACCUGCAGCUUCUCUGGCUUCCACUGUCGCCACCAUGCCGCCCAGGGUGAGGGUGUCCAGACCCGAGUCCACCCGGCCUCUGAUCGAACACUCUUGCUUGAUUGUAUAUGCAAGACUGUUCUUUGAGUGCAUACCUAGGAAUGGAAUUGCUGAGUCAAAAAUCAUUUAAUUAUGCAAUUUUAGGAGUUCUUUUUGAAAUCCAGGUAACUUUUAUUUAAAUUGAAAACAAUGCUUGAAACUGCAUUUAGAGUCAAAGCCCUUUUGCUUAGAAAAAUCAUUAAGAAGUAUUUCUAGAUAAGGCAGAAGUAUUUCUAGUUUAACAAGACCAGAUUUGACCUUGGACUUUAUCCUUUAGACAAAUUGUAGAGAAUGGAGGAAAAAAAGUGAAUUUACAGAAAACAGCAAAACAGUUUUCCAAAUUGUUUGUACCAUUUAUACCCAAACCCAGUAACGUAAAAGAGAUCCUGUGAAUCUGUAUCUUCUUCCCCAUUUGUAUUGUCAGACUUUUUAAUUUUGCCAAUCAGAAGGAUAUAAAGUGGUAACUCAUCAUGGUCUUGAUUUACAUUUCCCUCGUAACUAAUAUUGUUGGAUAUCUCUUCAUGCGUUUGUGGACAUAUGUAAUAGAGCCCUCUUGAGUUCUAGCUGGGCACAGACUACCCAGCUAGAGAGUACGUUUUCCAACCAUCCUUUUUUUUUUUCUUUUCCAUUUUUAAAAUUGAAGUAUAGUCCAUUUACAAUGUUGUGUCAGUUUCUGGUGUACAGCAUAAUGUUUCAGUCAUACAUAUACAUACA